GCAUUUUCGGGAGGUGGCACACAUGGGUUAUUUUGGGACGGGGGCACCCCGCAUGGACCAUGAGGGCUUUGGGGGUGUAAACCUUUUUUGUUUUGUCCCCCCUUUUCGGGGCGAACAUUUUGACGGUCCCCCAGAAAAAACCCCCGGCUAAUUAUGUCCCACCACCCGCGGUAAUACAGAGGGUCCGAGCUUUUUCCGGAUUUUUUGGGCUUAAAGGGCGCUUAGGCGGUGGUUUAUUCCCGGGGUGAAAACCCGGGGUUCAACCCGGGGUCGUCGUUGGAAACUGCCGCUCUUGAGACCGCUAGGGGCAGGUGGAAUUCCGGGUGUAGCGGUGAAAUGCGUAGAGAUCGGGAAGAACACCGGUGGCGAAGGCGGCCUUCUGGGCCUUCCCUGACUCUGAGGCGCGAAAGCGUGGGGAGCAAACGGGAUUAGAUACCCUGGUAGUCCACCCCGUAAACGAUGGACACUAGGUUUGGGGGGGAUCGACCCCCUCGGUGCCGCAGCUAACGCGUAAGUGCCCCGCCUGGGAGUACGGCCGCAGG
rnacentral:rRNA from 1 species